GGUUAAGCGACUAAGCGUACACGGUGGAUGCCCUGGCAGUCAGAGGCGAUGAAGGGCGUGCUAAUCUGCGAUAAGCGCCGGUAAGGUGAUAUGAACCGUUAUAACCGGCGAUACCCGAAUGGGGAAACCCAGUGUGACUCGUCACACUAUCAUUAACUGAAUCCAUAGGUUAAUGAGGCGAACCGGGGGAACUGAAACAUCUAAGUACCCCGAGGAAAAGAAAUCAACCGAGAUUCCCCCAGUAGCGGCGAGCGAACGGGGAGGAGCCCAGAGCCUGAAUCAGCAUGUGUGUUAGUGGAAGCGUCUGGAAAGGCGCGCGAUACAGGGUGACAGCCCCGUACACAAAAGCGCAUGUGCUGUGAGCUCGAUGAGUAGGGCGGGACACGUGGUAUCCUGUCUGAAUAUGGGGGGACCAUCCUCCAAGGCUAAAUACUCCUGACUGACCGAUAGUGAACCAGUACCGUGAGGGAAAGGCGAAAAGAACCCCGGCGAGGGGAGUGAAAAAGAACCUGAAACCGUGUACGUACAAGCAGUGGGAGCACAGGUUUACCUGUGUGACUGCGUACCUUUUGUAUAAUGGGUCAGCGACUUAUAUUCUGUAGCAAGGUUAACCGAAUAGGGGAGCCGCAGGGAAACCGAGUCUUAAUUGGGCGUUAAGUUGCAGGGUAUAGACCCGAAACCCGGUGAUCUAGCCAUGGGCAGGUUGAAGGUUGGGUAACACUAACUGGAGGACCGAACCGACUAAUGUUGAAAAAUUAGCGGAUGACCUGUGGCUGGGGGUGAAAGGCCAAUCAAACCGGGAGAUAGCUGGUUCUCCCCGAAAGCUAUUUAGGUAGCGCCUCGUGAAUUCAUCUCCGGGGGUAGAGCACUGUUUCGGCUAGGGGGCCAUCCCGGCUUACCAACCCGAUGCAAACUGCGAAUACCGGAGAAUGUUAUCACGGGAGACACACGGCGGGUGCUAACGUCCGUCGUGAAGAGGGAAACAACCCAGACCGCCAGCUAAGGUCCCAAAGUCAUGGUUAAGUGGGAAACGAUGUGGGAAGGCCCAGACAGCCAGGAUGUUGGCUUAGAAGCAGCCAUCAUUUAAAGAAAGCGUAAUAGCUCACUGGUCGAGUCGGCCUGCGCGGAAGAUGUAACGGGGCUAAACCAUGCACCGAAGCUGCGGCAGCGACGCUUAUGCGUUGUUGGGUAGGGGAGCGUUCUGUAAGCCUGCGAAGGUGGCCUGUGAGGGUUGCUGGAGGUAUCAGAAGUGCGAAUGCUGACAUAAGUAACGAUAAAGCGGGUGAAAAGCCCGCUCGCCGGAAGACCAAGGGUUCCUGUCCAACGUUAAUCGGGGCAGGGUGAGUCGACCCCUAAGGCGAGGCCGAAAGGCGUAGUCGAUGGGAAACGGGUUAAUAUUCCCGUACUUGGUGUUACUGCGAAGGGGGGACGGAGAAGGCUAUGUUGGCCGGGCGACGGUUGUCCCGGUUUAAGCGUGUAGGUGUGUGUUCCAGGUAAAUCCGGUUCACUUUAACACUGAGGCGUGAUGACGAGGCACUACGGUGCUGAAGCAACAAAUGCCCUGCUUCCAGGAAAAGCCUCUAAGCAUCAGGUAACAUCAAAUCGUACCCCAAACCGACACAGGUGGUCAGGUAGAGAAUACCAAGGCGCUUGAGAGAACUCGGGUGAAGGAACUAGGCAAAAUGGUGCCGUAACUUCGGGAGAAGGCACGCUGACACGUAGGUGAAGUGAUUUACUCAUGGAGCUGAAGUCAGUCGAAGAUACCAGCUGGCUGCAACUGUUUAUUAAAAACACAGCACUGUGCAAACACGAAAGUGGACGUAUACGGUGUGACGCCUGCCCGGUGCCGGAAGGUUAAUUGAUGGGGUCAGCGCAAGCGAAGCUCCUGAUCGAAGCCCCGGUAAACGGCGGCCGUAACUAUAACGGUCCUAAGGUAGCGAAAUUCCUUGUCGGGUAAGUUCCGACCUGCACGAAUGGCGUAAUGAUGGCCAGGCUGUCUCCACCCGAGACUCAGUGAAAUUGAACUCGCUGUGAAGAUGCAGUGUACCCGCGGCAAGACGGAAAGACCCCGUGAACCUUUACUAUAGCUUGACACUGAACAUUGAGCCUUGAUGUGUAGGAUAGGUGGGAGGCUUUGAAGUGUGGACGCCAGUCUGCAUGGAGCCGACCUUGAAAUACCACCCUUUAAUGUUUGAUGUUCUAACGUGGACCCGUAAUCCGGGUUGCGGACAGUGUCUGGUGGGUAGUUUGACUGGGGCGGUCUCCUCCUAAAGAGUAACGGAGGAGCACGAAGGUUGGCUAAUCCUGGUCGGACAUCAGGAGGUUAGUGCAAUGGCAUAAGCCAGCUUGACUGCGAGCGUGACGGCGCGAGCAGGUGCGAAAGCAGGUCAUAGUGAUCCGGUGGUUCUGAAUGGAAGGGCCAUCGCUCAACGGAUAAAAGGUACUCCGGGGAUAACAGGCUGAUACCGCCCAAGAGUUCAUAUCGACGGCGGUGUUUGGCACCUCGAUGUCGGCUCAUCACAUCCUGGGGCUGAAGUAGGUCCCAAGGGUAUGGCUGUUCGCCAUUUAAAGUGGUACGCGAGCUGGGUUUAGAACGUCGUGAGACAGUUCGGUCCCUAUCUGCCGUGGGCGCUGGAGAACUGAGGGGGGCUGCUCCUAGUACGAGAGGACCGGAGUGGACGCAUCACUGGUGUUCGGGUUGUCAUGCCAAUGGCACUGCCCGGUAGCUAAAUGCGGAAGAGAUAAGUGCUGAAAGCAUCUAAGCACGAAACUUGCCCCGAGAUGAGUUCUCCCUGAGACUUAGAGUCUCCUGAAGGAACGUUGAAGACGACGACGUUGAUAGGCCGGGUGUGUAAGCGCAGCGAUGCGUUGAGCUAACCGGUACUAAUGAACCGUGAGGCUUAACCUU
rnacentral:rRNA from 1 species